rnacentral:rRNA from 1 species
CGUGAGUGAUGAAGGUUUUCGGAUCGUAAAGCUCUGUUGUUAGGGAAGAACAAGUGCGAGAGUAACUGCUCGCACCUUGACGGUACCUAACCAGAAAGCCACGGCUAACUACGUGCCAGCAGCCGCGGUAAUACGUAGGUGGCAAGCGUUGUCCGGAAUUAUUGGGCGUAAAGGGCUCGCAGGCGGUUUCUUAAGUCUGAUGUGAAAGCCCCCGGCUCAACCGGGGAGGGUCAUUGGAAACUGGGAAACUUGAGUGCAGAAGAGGAGAGUGGAAUUCCACGUGUAGCGGUGAAAUGCGUAGAGAUGUGGAGGAACACCAGUGGCGAAGGCGACUCUCUGGUCUGUAACUGACGCUGAGGAGCGAAAGCGUGGGGAGCGAACAGGAUUAGAUACCCUGGUAGUCCACGCCGUAAACGAUGAGUGCUAAGUGUUAGGGGGUUUCCGCCCCUUAGUGCUGCAGCUAACGCAUUAAGCACUCCGCCUGGGGAGUACGGUCGCAAGACUGAAACUCAAAGGAAUUGACGGGGGCCCGCACAAGCGGUGGAGCAUGUGGUUUAAUUCGAAGCAACGCGAAGAACCUUACCAGGUCUUGACAUCCUCUGACAACCCUAGAGAUAGGGCUUUCCCUUCGGGGACAGAGUGACAGGUGGUGCAUGGUUGUCGUCAGCUCGUGUCGUGAGAUGUUGGGUUAAGUCCCGCAACGAGCGCAACCCUUGAUCUUAGUUGCCAGCAUUCAGUUGGGCACUCUAAGGUGACUGCCGGUGACAAACCGGAGGAAGGUGGGG